rnacentral:rRNA from 1 species
UGGGGAAUUUUCCGCAAUGGGCGCAAGCCUGACGGAGCAAUACCGCGUGAGGGAGGAAGGCUUUUGGGUUGUAAACCUCUUUUCUCAAGGAAGAAGCACUGACGGUACUUGAGGAAUCAGCAUCGGCUAACUCCGUGCCAGCAGCCGCGGUAAUACGGAGGAUGCAAGCGUUAUUCGGAAUUAUUGGGCGUAAAGCGUCCGCAGGUGGUGCCUCAAGUCUGCUGUCAAAGACCGAAGCUCAACUUCGGGCAGGCAGUGGAAACUGAAGCACUAGAGUACGGUAGGGGUAGAGGGAAUUUCCAGUGUAGCGGUGAAAUGCGUAGAGAUUGGAAAGAACACCAGUGGCGAAGGCGCUCUACUGGACCGUAACUGACACUCAGGGACGAAAGCUAGGGGAGCGAAAGGGAUUAGAUACCCCCGUAGUCC